AGAGCGAACGCUGGCGGCAGGCCUAACACAUGCAAGUCGAGCGCCCGUAGCAAUACGGGAGCGGCAGACGGGAUAGUAACACGUGGGAACGCGCCCUUCGGUUCGGAAUAACUCAGGGAAACUUGAGCUAAUACCGGAUACGCCCUUACGGGGAAAGAUUUAUUGCCGAAGGAGCGGCCCGCGUCCGAUUAGCUAGUUGGUGAAGUAAUGGCUCACCAAGGCGACGAUCGGUAGCUGGUCUGAGAGGAUGACCAGCAUCACUGGGACUGAGACACGGCCCAGACUCCUACGGGAGGCAGCAGUGGGGAAUAUUGGACAAUGGGCGCAAGCCUGAUCCAGCCAUGCCGCGUGGAUGAUGAAGGCCCUAGGGUUGUAAAGUCCUUUCGACGGGGAAGAUAAUGACGGUACCCGUAGAAGAAGCCCCGGCUAACUUCGUGCCAGCAGCCGC
rnacentral:rRNA from 1 species